rnacentral:rRNA from 1 species
AACGAACGCUGGCGGCGUGGAUAAGACAUGCAAGUCGAACGGGACAGACCGAGUAGCAAUAUUUGGAAUGUUCAGUGGCGAACGGGUGCGUAACACGUGGAUAACAUUCCGGAAAGCGGGGAAUAGCCCAGGAAACUUGGAUUAAUACCGCAUGUGGCCGCAAGGCUAAAGACGGGGACCGCAAGGCCUGUCACUUUCCGAUUGGUCCGCGGCCUAUCAGCUAGUUGGCGGGGUAAUGGCCCACCAAGGCUACGACGGGUAGCUGGUCUUAGAGGACGACCAGCCAAACUGGAGCUGAGACACGGUCCAGACACCUACGGGUGGCAGCAGUCGAGAAUCUUUCACAAUGGGGGCGACCCUGAUGGAGCGACGCCGCGUGGAGGAUAAGGUCUUCGGAUUGUAAACUCCUGUCAUGCGAGAACAAGGUACUCAGGCUAAUAACCUGAUUGUUUGAUGGUACCGCAAGAGGAAGAGACGGCUAACUCUGUGCCAGCCGCCGCAGUAAAAC